AUGUCAUUCACAGAAAUUACAGGACAGGUUUCUGUGACUCAGACUCCCUCAGAAGAAGCUCUUCUCGGAGGAACAGUCACUAUAAACUGUCAAACUGACAGAGGAAUUGGAGAUCGUACUCAAGGUUGUGGCUCCUGUCUCUCCUGGUAUCUGCAGAAACCUGGAGAAGCUCCUAAACUCCUCAUUUAUUCCAUUAAGUCACGACAGUCAGGAAAUCCAUCGAGAUUCACUGGCAAUGGAGCAAAUUAUGGAACAGAUUUUACUCUGACCAUCAGUGGAGUCCAGACUGAAGAUGCUGGACAUUAUUACUGUAUAAGUAGACACUGGAUCAACAGUAAACAUGUGUUCACACAGUGA